rnacentral:lncRNA from 1 species
UAAUCCUUCUCUUUAGGUAGCGUUUGGUUCGGGUAUAAGUAAGAACUAGCUAUUACAGGGAUAGGUACAAGUAUGGGGAUAAAAAAAAUAGCGUUUGGAUAAAAAUUAGGUUGUUGCCGGGGAUAAGAAAAAUAGCGUUUCAAUAAAUAAUAUGGAAUAAGAAAAAUAGUUGAUAAUUAUAUAUAGAAAAUAGAGGUGUUGGUGGGGAUAGUAAUACUGGUUAUUUUAGGUAUCUGAAAAUUACUAUUCUCGGAUAAAAAAUUUGCGUUUGGGUAUAAAGGGGAUAAGUGGUUAUCCCUCUCCUUAUCCCCAAUCCAAACACUGCCUUACGUUUUUAAAAAAUCUAAAAUUUUGGUAUUAAAAAAUACCUGCAAACAUAGUGAAUGACAAAUAUAUCUCUACAAAAUUCAACUUUUAUAUCUUAUCCCCGCAAAAGUUCAGAUAUUUUCAAAUAUAUUUAUCAGGUUUGUUACUGUCAGAAAACUAUUUAUAUUUUUAAUUUUGCCAUCACAAAUAUGUCCCUCCAAAAGUCAUAACAGUGUAAUAUAAGCGGAGUAAAAAUGUCAAAAAUUAACCAGGAUUAAGUAUUUAACCUAUUAUUAACUAAAUUUUUCUAACGGAUUCUAACUGUAGGGAUAUAUUUGAAAAUAUAAAAAUUUUACAAAAAUAAUAUAUAAAAAUUAAAUUUUAUAAAAAUAUAUUUAUCAUUCAUUAUAUUUAUAAAAAUUUGUAUAAAAUUAACUUUAAAAUUAAGAGUAGGACUACUAUGCUAUUAGGAGCACAACAAUCUUUGUGCUCCUAACUUUCUAAUCAUCCAUCAAUUUUGAUGGAUGAUUCGGACGAGAUAGAGAAUAGAAAUUCAAAUAGAAGAAAAAUUAAGACACCCAAUUUCUUUCCAAUUUUUCUUCGCUUUUUCAUUUUAACCAUCCAUCAAAUUAAUAAAUAAUUAAAAAAUUAAAAGCAUAUAAAAAUUACUGUACUCAUACAGUAGUCCUGCUCCUAAAAUUAAUAUAUAGUCCUGCUCCUAAUGUUUUGGGACAGUCCCUCCCCGCUGAAAUUUUAUCCUGCCUGCUGCUGCAGCUGAAAUUUUAUGCCCGAGACGAGAUCUGCGGGAUCUGCUGGGGAUUGCUGGCGAUGAUGAUGGACGGCGAUGAUGGAGACGGCGAUGGGACGUCUGGAUGGGAUUGCCGGCGAGUGUGUGGACGGGCGUUGCGUGGCGGCGCGAUUCGCGGGAUUUCUGCCACAUCGUGCGGCACGAAGAGGGAGGGAGAGGGUAGAUAAAAUAGGUAUUAAGUGCUUCAAAUGAGGUUAAAAUACCAAAAAAAGGAAAAAAAAAAAAAAGAAAAUGCUUGUUUUGCUCUUUUUUUUUUUCUUUUUUUUUCUAUUUUUUUUUAAGGUACCUCUAAAAAUGUAUAUUUUAUUUUUUAAAAAAAUUUAAAAAUAUUUUUAGAAAAUUGUGAUAUUAAUAAAAAGAAUAAAAUGAUCAAAUUAUUUUUAUUAGUUGUUUCCACACGCUAUUCUUAUUUUAAAAAUUUUAAAUUUAAAAUUAAAAUGUAAAAAAAUUUAAAUUUAAAUUAAAAGUUUUAAAUUUUAUAAUUUUAAAUUCAAAAUGUAAACUUUAAAAUUUUAUAUUUUAAAUUUAAAAUUUAAAAUUUUAUGCGUUAAAAUUUAAAAUUAAAAUUUGAUACUUUAUAUUUUCAAAUUUAAAUUUGAUCUUGAAUUUAAAGUUUGAAAUUAAAAAUUAUUAAUUUUGAAUUUAAAGUUGAAAUUUAAAAUUUAUAAUUUUGAACUUAAAAUAUGAUUUUAAAUUUUAAAUUUUAAUUUAAAAAUAUAAGUAUAAAUUAAAAAUUCAAAAUUCAAUAUUAUGAGAGUGGUAAUAAUUAUUUUUAUUUAAAUUAUUUACUAUCCUAUUUAUUCUAUAUUUAUUUUUAUUCUCAGGAGAAUAAACUAAUUUUUAUCCACACGCCAAAAAUUGGUAUUUUAUACAUUGUUUCUGAAACAGGCAGUUCUUAUUUUAUCCGAAAUCAAAUGAUACAUAUGGUAAUAUAUGUAGUUUUUGAAAGUCAGAAAAGAUAAUUGAAAAGAUGAGUAUUAUCAAGAGUUUUCUAUAUUUUAGCCUUAAAAUAAUUAGGAGUACUAAGUUGAUCAUAAUUUCACGGGUGUGUAAAUAUAAAGAAAAAAAAAUGUACACUUAUCUAAACUAUAAGACCAUCUGGAUUUUGCUAUCCAAUAUUUCGAAAUUUUUAAAUUUAUUAUCCGAUUUUUUAAUUUGUUUAAUUUCAAUCAAUCAACGAUAGUUUUAAUUUUUAAAAUUUAAGUAAUUAAUAUACGAAUUUAUAAUGUCGAUAAUUGCAGUAAAAUAUUGAUUAAAUCUGUAAAGAUAAAUAAUCCAUUCAAAUUGUAAAUUCAAACACUCGUUCACUGAUUCAAAUCAAAAAUCGGAAAAACAUAUAAUACCAUCCUAUGGUUUCACACUUUUUCACUUUAGUGCCAUGUGGUUUAAAGUGUAUCAAUUUAGUGCCCUAUGGUCUUCAUUUUUAUCUUUUUUAUAAUCAAUUCCACUAAUUUUUUUUGUUAAAUUAGUGACAAAGUUAAAACUAAAGGUACUUAAAGUGAAUAUUCGAUAACCUAGGUGGAGUAUCUAAAGUUUUUUGUUGUAAUUUAACAAAUAUUAAUGGAUAAGCUUGAUGAAAAGAUAAAAAUAAAACCACAGGACUACUAACUUGAUAACACUUUAAACCACAUGUACUAAAAUGAGAAAAUACAAAACCGACAUGAAGGGUAUUUAAAGUUUACCCAUAAAAAAAACUGAAAUAUGGAUAGUCAAAUCAAAUGUUUAAUAGUUCAGAUAAGUCGUAUACAUUUUUACCUUAAAAAUAAUUAGCACGCAUAUAGAGUAUAUUUUUAGGGAUGUAUAUAUAUAUAAAUUGAGCUAGAAUACUUUUAGAAGCUAUCAAUCUGUUGGUGCUUCUAAGUUUUUAGCCCUUGGAUCUACUCCUUAAUUACUAAUACCCUUGAUUCAAACACUAUUCCAACUACACCACCUACCACCAGCUGCACUAUCAUCAUCAACCAUCUACAUUCUUCCAUCACAUGUAAAAACGUUAAAAAGCACCAACCCCGUGGUGCUUUCUGAAGUAUUCUAGCUCAACUAUUAUUAUAUAAUAUAUAUUAUAUAUAACUAUAUAUAUAUAUAUAUAUAUGAAAUAGGGAUUAAGGUAUUGGUGCAAUUUCAAGUAUAAUCUUCUAAAACUCCAAAAUAUCCAAAAUAUAAUAGAUGCUCUUUCUAGAUCUAAAAUAUCGUCAAUCUAUAUAUCUAUACCUUAUCUAUACCUCUAUAUCUUCUACACAUUAUUUUCUCUAAAUUUGUCACAUGGCAACGUUCGCUUUAUUGUUGGGUGUGGGCUCCACCCCGAACUUGCUCAAAUCCAUUUUUGUCUUUCUUUACUUGAACCAAACCGAAAUUUUAUCUUUCUUUGCUUGAACCAAUCCAAUUAUUAUUGAGUGUGGGUUCUCCCAAACCGGCUCAAGUCCUCCACAUAUUUUUUUCUUUUUUUUCUUGAACCUAACUGGGUUUUCCUUUUUUUUUUAUUAAACCGAACCGGAUCACACCUCUACAUUGGACCGAACUAUUCCUAUUCCACUUUUUUUGGCUAUUACCUUCAUUCAUCGGCAAGAUGAAUCUCACUCCUUAUCGUCACUUCUUCCAUCGCCGUUUCCUCUUCCUUUGUCGUCAUUUUCUACUUUUUUUCUAAUUAUCUACUCGUCGCAUCACACAGAUUACUACAUUAGUCUAUAUCUAUAUAUUAUAUAUAUCUAAAGUGGGUGGGAGAAGGUAUAGAGGGGGCACAUGGACACAUAUUAUAUUAGUUAAUUUAGUGCACCCGGUGCACCAUAAACCAUACUAAGUGGGUGGAGGAAGAUGGGAAGGGACACAAGUUGUGUCGGUUAAUUCAGUGCACCUGGUGCACUAUAAAAGGGUAAAUUGUAUUGUUACCUGAACUUUUGGCGAAGUUUCACUUUACCCCUCGAAUUCUAAAAUAGACAUCUGACACCCUAAACUCUAAUAUUUCAUUCACGUUACUCCUUCCAUCAGUUUUCCGUCAAGCUCCGUUAACCAGAAACUGACGGAAGGGGUAAAACGAAUGAAAUAUUAGAGUUUAGGGUGUUAGAUGCCUAUCUUAGGAGUUUAGGGGGUUAAGUGAAACUCGCCAAAAGUUCAGGAGGUAACAAUGCAAUUUAUCCCGACUAUAAAUUAUUUUUAUAUUAAAAAUUUUUAAUUGGCUGAAAUGAAGUACACAAAUUUUAUUUAAGUGUAUUUUCUAGAGCAAUACUUAUAAAGAUAAAAGAGACAAACAAGUACUACAGAAAAUUAACUGAAAAUUAAAAUAUCUAUAUCCGAGUGAGGUCGCCUAUUGUAAAGCAACCAUAUUAGUGAGUACGCCAGGAUAGUAGAGUGUUCGAGCAUCGUAGGUAAUUAGUAUCACUAUUUUUUUAUCUUUAAGCCACUCUAUUCAUUUCUUUCGCCUUUAUUUUAUUACAAUAAAAUAUAGAAUAAAUUAUGUUAUGAUUUAUUUUAGAAUAAAAAAUAUAUAUAAAUUCAAAAUCAAGUAUGAUCACUAACUUGAGGAUUAGUAAUAAAUUAUGUUAUGAUUUAUUUUAGAAUAAAAAAUAUAUAUAAAUUCAAAAUCAAGUAUGAUCACUAACUUGAGGAUUAGUAGUCAAUCCAUAAGUAAAAUAUUAUAAUAAAAUAAUUUAUAGUCAAGAGUCCUCAACGGGGUAAAUUGCACUACUACCUUUUGAACUUUUAGCGAGUUUCAUUUAACUCCCCAAACUCCUAAAAUAGACAUUUAACACCCUAAACUCUAAUAUUUCAUUAAUUUUACCCCUUCCGUCAGUUUCUUGUUAACGGAGCUUGAUGAAAAACUGACGGAAGGGAUAAUAUGAACGAAAUAUUAGAGUUUAGGGUGUUAGAUGUCUAUUUUAAGAGUUCGAGGGGUAAAGUAAAACUUCGCGAAAAGUUCAGGGGGUAACAAUACAAUUUACCUCACUAUAAAACAUAACCAAAUAUCAUAAACUUUAAUUAAUUAAUAAACAAAAAAAUUAUCUAUUAUCUAUUAUCUAUUAUCUAUUACUAUAUACUAAAGUGCGUGAGAUUCUUCUUUUAUUGACGUGUCCGGCUCAACUACUCAGUACACCCGAUGCAUCGUAGACCGUUGAUUAUCGACAUAUGUAUGGUCUAUGAAGGUCUAUGAAAAAAUCUUAGGUGCAUCUGAUUUAUUUCUAUCUAUUCUUUCUUCUACAUUAAAAAAGGGUUUGAGGAUGACACGUAUCCCCCAAAACCCUCACCUCCUCUCACUCCUUACCUAUAUAUAGAUAGGGUUUUAAAAUUUUAUAUUAUAAAAUUCUAAAUUUUGGAUAUCGAAAUUUUAAUUUAUUCCUAAAUUUUCAACUUUAAAAUUUUAAAUUUUAAAUCCUAAACUAUAUAGAAUUUUGAGGUAUUUUUCUAAAUUGCUUUAAUUCAUUGUCCACAAACUACUAAACCAAUGAGAAUACACAUUCAUUUUUUGUCAUUUAUCUAUUGUAAGUCCAAAUUUUAGAACAAAUUAAAUCUUUUCACGUUGGUGCUUAAUUGUGGUAAAUUUAAAAACUUCUUACAAAAUUAAAUACAUGUUCAUAAAUUCAAAAAAAAUUAUAAAGUCAGUCAAUUAAAAACCUACGAAUCAAAUAACUACUUUUUAUUUUAUCAUAAUAUUUUCAAUUCUCGAUAUUGCUUGCAUGGGUCAACAAAGUUACAAAAAUGAUCUGAAUAGAGUUAGAAGAAUAAGAAUUUAAAAAACACAAAAAGAUGAUAUGUAUUUUUUAAAACAAACUGGCGUAAAAAUAAACAUGUUACAAACUCUUCCUUUUUACUUCUGAAAAUUUUGAAAGUUUACGGAAUCUCAAGAAUCUAAAUUUAAACUAUAAAAUAUCUAGAGACAAAAUCUGUAACAAAAUUUUUUAUUUUGAAAUCAGAUAUUGAUACAAAAAACAAGGCCAUCGUACCCGCAACAAAGCGCGGGUACAUCGCUAGCAUUCUUUUAAAACACAAAAAUAAUUAUCCCAUUAAACAUAGAAAUCUAUCGCAAAUAUCCUCCUAAACUUCAAAAUCUUAGCCUAAACCCUAAACCCUGUUGUAUAUACAAGGACGGCAAUGAUAUUUUACACUUUGAGGGGUAUUUAUGAAGUUACCAGUUUGUAGAGGACAUUAAAUUAUAUGUGUGUGAGUUACAUAGUUCUUAGGCUUAGUUUGGUAUUAAGGCCUAUCUAACGCUAUUUGAUAAAAUGGAGUUGUGAAAAAAGCAUAUAGGGAUAUGCUUUUGCGUUCUCCAGUGGGAUCGCAGAAAAUAUAGCGUAACCGACUCAUCGUGAUAUGCGGAACGCAAUAUUACGUACGGAAACAAACAUGGUAUUUUUCCAACGUACUUUCUCACCGCACGUAACGCAAUCUCCCGGCAAUUCCGAACGAAGCCUUACACGAUGGGUAAAGUUUAGGGUUAAUUUCAUACAGAUCCCUGCAAACAUGGUGAAUAGCAGAUAUAUAUUCCUGCAAAAUUCAACUUUCAUAAGUUAUCUCUGCAAAAGUCCAAUGUAUUCAGAUAUAUCCCUACCGUUAAUACCCGUUAGAAAAAUCUAGUUAACCACACUUAGGGCGUGUUUGGUUCGAAGUCGGAGUCGGAAUCGGAAUCGGAAUCAAAAUAAGUUGGAAUCGGAAUUGGAAUGACUCAUUACCUAAUUCUGUUUGGUUCAUCACCUGAAUCGAAAUCGGAAUAAAUCAUUCCCAUUGUCGGUGUUUGGUUCAGAUGGAUAUAAAAACAUAAUCAAAUGAAUAUACUAACAUUAUCUUUAUAAUAUAUUAAUUUAAAUUUAAAUUAAAAUUAAAUAUUAAAAAUUUACAUCAAAAUUUUAAACUUAAUAGGUGAGUUGAAGUUUCAAAUUAAAAAAAAUUUUUUUUAUCUAAAUUUUAAAACUGUAAUAAAGNNNNNNCUUUGAAGUUGAGUGGAUAAUUCAAAAUAUGAAACUAAAUUUUGAUUUAUUCAAAUUCAAACUUAAAAUUAUAAUUUAAAUUUUAAUUUGAAUUCAUAAAUUUAAUUUAAGUUUGAAAAAAAAAUGAAUAAACUUUAUAUAAAUUAAAAUUUAAUUUAAAUUCAAAUUCAUAAGUUAGAUUCGAAAUACUUGAUUAAAUUUUAAUUUUUAAUUUAAGUUCAAAUUAAAAUUUAAAAUUAUAUAUUUAAUUUCUAAAUUUUAACUCAUAUUUUAAUUAAAAAAGUUGAAAAAAUAAAUUUAAUCCAAAUAAAUAUCUAUUCCGCCCGAAUUCAACUUUCAAUCCGGCCUUCUAGGCCGGAUUGAAAAAAUGGUGAUUGAGCGAUUCCCAUUCCACUCGAAAAUCGGAAUCGGAAUGGGACUCCCACGUACCAAACACCCACAAACGGAUUCACUCAUUCCCAUUCCGAUUCCAUGGUGAAAAAGAAGCGAACCAAACACGCCCUUAAAAUAUUUAACCAUGAUUAGUUAAUAAGGUAAAAUGAUAUUUUUACCUUUCUUCCUCUUCCCCUUCCUCUUCUUCUUCCUCUUCCUCUCCUGCUUCUUCUUCUUCCUCUUCCAUUUUGUAUCCUCAUUUUCCUCCUCUUUUUCUCCUCCUCCUUCUUCUUCGUCGUCUUCGUCGAUGAUCCGAUCGUCGUCGCCGUCGUGGUGCCCGCGUGGGCCGUCGUCACGGGCGCCUCCGACGUCAUCGACUGCGCCUUGGCCUUCCGCUUCUUCCUUGUCCUCGUUGGCCGCAAUCCCGACAAACUCCGCAAGGUGGCCGUCGCCGCCGUCCGCUCCCACAACAUGAAGAGGAAAAGGAAGAUGAAGAGGACAAGGGCAAAAUAGUCAUUUCACAACUCUACUGUUAAAAUAUUAACAGUUCUCUAACAUAUCUAAACCAGAGGGACAUAUCUGAAUACAUUAGGGUUUUUGCAGGAAUAACUUAUGAAAGUUGAAUUUUACAGGAGUAUAUCUGCUAUUCACCAUAUUUGCAGGGAUCUAUAUGAAAUUAAUCCUAAAAUUUAAAUCUAAGAGACCAAAAAUUAAGAUCUAAACUAUUAAAUAUGAUAAAAAAAUAAAAAGAAUGUCUGUAAAGUUUUAUAAAUAUUAAAAAUUAAUUUCUUAUAUAUCGAAUGAUGUGAAACGAAGAAUCCAAAAUUUUCUGGGAAGCAUAAUCAGCAUUAUAUUGAAAACUAAAGGUAUAGAUUUCGAAAAAUUUUAGGGAGUGAAAAAAUAUUACAGAUAUUUUAGAGUGCUUAGCUGGCCCGCUUAAACCCUAAGUCCUAAACUCUAAAUUGAAAUUUGAAUUUAAAUUUGAAUUCAAUGGAUUUUGAAAAUUCAUAUUCAAACUCGAGUCUGACCAAAAAUAUGAAACCGAAAUCCGAACUCAAACCCAAAAAUCCGAACCCGAAAUAAUUAUUUCUCAUUAUCGUAUUUCAAAAACAUAUUAUUUUUAAAAUCUCAAAAUUUUAAAUUACAAGCUAAAUAAAAUUUAACAUCAAAUAUUAUAAGGUAAAAACAAUUCGGUUUGGGUCGGGUUCAAGUUCGGGUCACGUCAGAAUAAAAUCCAUACUCGAAUUCAAAUCUAUCAAGUUUUCUUUUUCUAUGCCCAUCUGUUUAGUAUCGAGUAAACUCACUCCGAUCGAAUUCGGAUUCAAAAUAAAAUUUUUGGUAUUUGUACCAUUGACAUCCCUAAACAAACAUUUAAGUGCAAGUAAUAUUUCCACACCCAUUUGAUUAUGGUUAACCCUCUAACCAAAAUAUACUCUUCUAAAAGUUAAUUUCAUUAGUAAAUAGAUAUUUGAAGAAUUUUUUUAAAAUUAAUAAGAAUAUUUUGUCCUAUUUAAAUUAAAUAUUUUUAAAAUUUUGUACAAAAAAAAACUUAUUAUAUAUAUUUACUAAUGAAAUUAACUUUUAGUUGCUCAAAACAUCCAUAAUUUAACAAAUACUUAUUUAUUUUAUCUAUAAUUUUUUAAAUAAAAAAAUAAUAUUUAUAAAUCAUAAAUUUAUAAAUAAUUUGUGAAUAUCUGCAUAUACCAAUUAAGAUAGUGAAAUCUAGUCCUCGUAUAAGAGAAAACAAUGAUUAGUUUAGAUUUUUUUUUUUUUUGUGGUUUUCGAAAUAUUUUAUGUGGUGUGUGAAAUGUGCACGUAAACGACCGCUGCCGGUAACAAUCUUUCUUGUGUGCGCCUUUUCCUCGCUGUCUUCCCGCCCCCCUUAUUUAUUCGGCGCUCCUUCGCCCGCAGACGUACGCCAAAAAACGAAAAGCGACGACCGACCGCUGGUCCUCGCAGCACGCCCCCAUCACAAUCCAACGGCGGGCAGCUCACCUUUCUCUCUCCCCCCACCUGAUAGCGAGAUUAUCGAGGAUCACUCCCCCGCUUUUCCAACUCUACCCCUCCCACCUCUUUUUGUUUCACCAAGCAAAAAUAUUUUGUUUGGUUCGGAAAUAAAUAAAAAAUGACUAUUUCAAAAAUAGAUAUAUAAAUCAAAAAUAUAAAGAGGAUUAGAUAGGUAUAAAUUACAAGAUUUUUUUAUAAAUAUCAUUUUUUUAAUUUUUUCUCGCUAAUUUUUUUAAAAAUAUUCUUUCCCCUCUUAAUAUUUUAAAUUAGGAAAAAUUUCGAAUACCAUCCCUAUAGUUUCGCAUCUUUUAACUUUAGUAUCAUACUAUCAUGUGGUUUAAAGUGUGUCAAUUUAGUACUCGGUGGUUUCGCACUUUCUUACUUUAGUAUCAUAUGGUUUAAAAUGCAUCAAUGUAGUACCCUGUGGUUUUUUUUUUUUUCUUUUCGACAAAUUAUAUACAAAAUACUUCAAAUAUUCUACCUAAGUUUAUCGAAUAUUUACUUUAGUACCUUUAGUUUUAACUCUGUUACUGAUUUUAUUUUCCUCCAUUAAUAUUUCGUUAAAUUAUAUACAAAAAAACGUAAGAUACCCUAUCUAGGUUUAUCGAAUAUUUACUUUAGUACCUUUAGUUUUAACUCUGUUACUGAUUUUAUUUUCCUCCAUUAAUAUUUCGUUAAAUUAUAUACAAAAAAACGUAAGAUACCCUAUCUAGGUUUAUCGAAUAUUCACUUGUACCCCAUAAUUUUAACUUUGUCACUAAUUUAAUGAAAAUAAUUAGUGAAAUAGAUAAUUAAAAAAAAAAAAAAACCACAGGGUACGAACUUGAUACACUUUAAACCAUAGAGUACUAAAGUGAGAAAGUACGAAACCAUAAGGGCUAACUUGAUACACUUUAAAUCACAUGGUACUAAAGUGAGAAAAAUGUGAAAACCACAAAGGGAGUAUUUAAAGAUUACCCUUUAAAUUAUUACAUUUAACCUUUCUCUCUCAUAGUUUCAUUACUGUUCCGUUCAUUUCUUAUAAUUUAUAUCAAAAAUAUUUUUUAAAAUAACAAAAAUAUAUUAAAAAACUAUUUUUUUUAAAAAAAAAUAAUUUGAUCAUUUUACUUUCUUCAUUAAUGUUUUUUUAAAAUAUUUUUAAAAUUUUAAGAGAAUAAAUUAUAAAAUUUUGAGACUGAGAGAGUGAAAGUGAAAAAGUAAGUGUUUAUAGAAAAGUUUUCUAUAAUCUAGCCGAAAUAUUUUAAAGGCGGUUUGGUUCUUCAAAAAAUAUAAAAAAAUUGAGAAAAAAUAUUUUAAAAAACUUUUUUUUAGUUUUCUAUCUAUUUGAUUUUAAAACAAAUUAACUUUUUAAAAAACUAGUCUUUUAGUUUUUCUAAAAAGAGAUUCAAAAAAUUAAAACACGAAUUUUUAUGAAAUUCCACAAUUUUUUUUUUAAAAAAACCUAGUUCUUUGGAAACAACUGGACAAAAAAGUGAAAAUGAGUUUUUUCUUUUUUUUUUUUUUACUGCUUGAUGCAUUUAGCCUUGUCUAUUAAGAUUUCAUUACUGUUUUAUCUAUUUCAUAAAUAUUUUUUAAAAUAGUAAAAAAUAUAUCAAAAUAUUAUUUCGUUUACUCUAGAACAACCAAAAAGACAAUUUGAUCAUUUCACCCUUUUGAUCAACGUUGUAAUUUUUUGAAAAUAUUUCUAAAAUUUUGAGGAGGAAAAAAACAUAGGUUUUAAAAAUCAAGAAGGAAAAGUUAAAAAAUGAUAUAUUUACAAAAAUAUUUUCUAUAUUUUAGCUAAUUUUUUAUUUGCAACAAAUAAAUUUCAAACUGAUCAUUCCCAACGCAAGUUAUUAAGAACUUGAUAGGUUAAAUCCAAGGUAAUAAAUUUGAAACUUAAUUACUUAUACAUUUUUAGUUAAAGAAUUGUUUGGAUUUUAGAAAGCGUAUGAAAGAGGUUUUUCGAAAAAAAAAAAUUUAUGGAAUUUUUUUUUUUUCAAUUUUUCGUCUGUUUGGUAUUAUAAAAAACUAGCAAUUUUAAAAUUUAUAUUUCUGAUUUUAUAGAAAACUAGUGUUUUUGUUUUUUGACGCUAGUUUCUAUAAAAUCGAACCCUUUUUUUUUCAAAAAAGCUAUUUUUUCUUGAAAAUAAAUGGGUGAAAACAAGAGAGAAAAACCUUUAUUUUCCUUAUUUUUUUUCAUACUUUUGCAAGAAAACCAAAAAAAUCCUUUAUUUAUUAAUAACAUGCACGAAGUAGAUACCAUGCUAUUUUUAUCUCAAAAAAAAAAAUAAAUUUUACAAUAUUUUACAAAUUAUGUAAUUUAAUGGUUGGAUUUCAAUCUCAAUAUUAAAAGUCAUGCUUAGCUUCUCGUGAUUUAUACUUUAUUAUUAAUUAAUACCAGCUACGCUCUUCUACAAAGUAUUGUAAAUUAAUCAAUUUGUAAGCAUAAUAUUACUCUUCAACAUAAUAGAUUGAAGUGAGACUUCGAGGUAAACUAGAGUUCAAGUAAAACUUACUUCCUCCUGUUCUUCAUUUAUAGAGCUGUGAAAUUGAAGUUUUUCGAGAUCUAUUUUUUAUUUGGUAAGAAAUGAAUGACGUGAAAAUUAAAGAUGUGAAAAAUGAAUUAAUAUUUUAUUAUUAUUAUUAUUAUAUCGUAAUUGACUUUUAGUUUGGGGCACUGUCUUGAGGACAUUGAGAUUUAACUAAAGAUGAAGUUACGGUGAUCUAAAUAAAGAAAGUAGACAUUUACUGCUAAAAACCACUUUACCCAUUUCUAGGUGAAAUAAACACACAAAUUAAAAGUGAUUUCUCUAGAACUAAAAUCUAGAUAACAAUUAUUUAUUUUUUUACGGGGGUCAUUCAUCCUAGAACUACUCCCGUUCUAAUACGUUUUAACUCUCUUAACCUCUUGGAUCUAGCCACCACCUAAAAUACUUAAGCCGGAUUAUUAUGUCUAGUCCAAAAUCACUAGACGAUGUAAAACUUGUCUCGUAAGGCUUUGUCAUUCACUGACCCUGAUUUAAUUUGUCAGCCUAAGAAUGUUAGCUGAUGUGAGACUUGUCUCGUUAGCUUUUGUCAUUCUGAUCAUAAUUUAGCCUGUCAUUCAUCAACUCUGGCUCAGCCAAGACUCACCUCAUAUUUUCGACCGGUGAAUCGGCUCUGAUACCAAAUAUAACAACCCAACCCGCUAGCAAUAAUAACUUGUUGGAUCCAAACUAUCGACCAAACUAUUAAACCUAGUUAUUAUUAUUAGGGUGGAGUCCUCUUGUAUACCCAAAAAAAACUCAAUUCUCAUCCGAUGUUCGAGCUAUCACCUUAUCUUUUAGGCAGGGACUCAGUCGAAACUUGCCACACAUUUUUCUGCUGGUGAAUAGCUCUAAUACCAAUUAUAAUAAUCCAAUCCACUAGCAACAAUAUCCAGACCCUGGUAUAGCGGUUCACCUUAUCAUUCAGACUCCAGCAUCACCUAUCACCUUGUCUUUUAGACCCUAACUCAGUCGAGACUCGCAACAUAUUUUCAGUUAGUGAACUGGCUCUGAUACCAAUUAUAACGACCCUACCCGUCAGUAACAAUAACUUGUUGGGUCCAAACCACCGGCUCAAAAUGUUUAAGCCUAAUUAUUAUUAUUAGCGUGUAAGCUUUAUAUAUUCUAAUCAAAAUUAUUUUUCCAUCCUACUAAUAAUACUAACUCGUUGGGCCAAACCAUCGGCUUAAAAUGCUUAAGCUCAGUUAUUAUUACUAGCAUAUAGGCUUCAUAUAUUCUAAUCAGAAUUAGUUUUUUCACUCGAUGUGAGACAAUUGCGGUGUUACAAACUCUCAUUGUCCUCGUCGAGUCCAAAUCAGAUUACAGAUGCAAACCAAAAUUAGCAGGCGGUGUAAGAUUCAAAAGGUAACUCCCAUCAAAUUCGUUGGUGUAGCACUUUGUUCCACAUAACACUUAGCUCUCACACUUCCGGCUGACAUUCGGUUCUAAUACCAACUAUGAUGUCCCAAUUUCUCAGGUGGUCAUCCAUUCUAGGACUAUUCUCGUCCUAACACGCUUAACUCUCUUAUCCAUCGCCCAGCACAAAGUUAAUUACAACGUUAUGAUAAAUAGAGUCACGAAGAAAUUUAAUUUAUAAUAAAUUGGCCAACCAAAAUAAGCAUUCACAACCGAAAACAACUUCGCCUCUCUGCACUUUCGGCAAAAGGAACGUGCCCUUAGCCGUAUGUCAAUAUUUAAUUUUCGUUCUAAUCACGUACCGGAAAUUUAUUGUCUAUUAAUUAAUUAAUAAUAAUAAUAUAAUACAAUAUAUAUUAUUAUAUUAUAUAUUUAAUUUUUUGAAUAAAUUGUUUGGUGAAUAAUAAUAAUAAUAAAUAUAAAUAUAAAUAAAAUAAUAAUAAUAAUAAUUUGUGCCUCUUCCCUCGCGUUUCCCGGUCAAACCGUCCCCAGAUCCAACGGCGGUGAUGCUCCGAUCCGCUUUCCCUCGCCCCCCCGGCCCUCGCCUGACCCAUCACGCGCCAACACGUCGGCGCACGCGUACCCCCCGCCACAUGCUUCGCACGCGCUUUCGCACGUCCGGCGCCCCCCGCCGCUCCUUUUUCCUUCCCCCCAACCCCCCAACCCCAACCCUAACCUAACCCUAAUCCCCCCCCCCCCUCCCCUCCCCAGUUCCCAAGACCUACCGAUCCCACACAGAAAAAAAAAGGGGUGGGCGAAGCAACACGAACGUAGAACAACGUAGGACUUGAUCAAAAAGAUAAAUUUGUAGGAAAGUUAUAUUAUUUGUCACAUCCAGGGAUGGAAGUGAACUAGUGACGAAAGUUGAAGGGUUUUAAUGAAAACUAUAGGACUGAGUAACAAUUUUGGAUAGUUUAGGGACUAACGCUUACAAAUCGCCCGUUUAUUAGUUUCUCCAACAUAAAUAAUUAGAAGUCACUAAAAAAAUAAUAAUAAUAAAUAAUAAAUUAAAAAAAGGUAGCAAAACCUUUGCGCUCCUCACGAGCGAGAGGACGCCGAAGCUCGAUCCCCUCCAUCUCCUCCGCGAUACCCUAACCUAGAGAGAGAGAGAGAGAGAGAGAGAGAGAGAGGAGGAGGAGGAGGAGGAGAUUGAGAGGGAUUACUUACUAGGGUUUGGAGGAGGAGAUGGAGGGGAGGGAGACGAGGGGGCCGCCGAACCCGGCGCUGCCGUACAGGGAGGAUUGCUGGAGCGAGGGGGAGACGUCGGCGUUGGUGGAGGCGUGGGGCGACCGGUACCUCGAGCUGAACAGGGGGAACCUCCGCCAGAAGCACUGGCAGGAGGUCGCCGACGCCGUCAACUCCCGCCGCGGCGCCGCCGUCUCCGCCGGAGCCGGAGGAGGAGGAGGAGGAGGGGGAGGGAGACGGCCGCCGCGCACCGACGUGCAGUGCAAGAACCGGAUCGACA